UUGACAUGAAGAGUUUGAUCCUGGCUCAGAUUGAACGCUGGCGGCAUGCUUUACACAUGCAAGUCGAACGGCAGCAUGUUUUUUCUUCGGAAAAAAUGAUGGCGAGUGGCGGACGGGUGAGUAACGCGUAGGAAUUUGCCCUAAAGUGGGGAACAACCUAGGGAAACUUAGGCUAAUACCGCAUAAUCUCUACGGAGCAAAGCCGGGGACCUUCGGGCCUGGCGCUUUAGGAUAAGCCUGCGUCAGAUUAGUUUGUUGGUGGGGUAAUGGCCUACCAAGACGACGAUCUGUAGCUGGUCUGAGAGGACGAUCAGCCACACUGGGACUGAGACACGGCCCAGACUCCUACGGGAGGCAGCAGUGGGGAAUAUUGGACAAU
rnacentral:rRNA from 1 species